GAUGAACGCUGGCGGCGUGCCUAAUACAUGCAAGUCGAGCGAACAGACGAGGAGCUUGCUCCUCUGACGUUAGCGGCGGACGGGUGAGUAACACGUGGAUAACCUACCUAUAAGACUGGGAUAACUUCGGGAAACCGGAGCUAAUACCGGAUAAUAUAUUGAACCGCAUGGUUCAAUAGUGAAAGACGGUUUUGCUGUCACUUAUAGAUGGAUCCGCGCCGCAUUAGCUAGUUGGUAAGGUAACGGCUUACCAAGGCAACGAUGCGUAGCCGACCUGAUAGGGUGAUCGGCCACACUGGAACUUAGACACGGUCCAGACUCCUACGGGAGGCAGCAGUAGGGAAUCUGCCGCAAUGGGCGAAAGCCUGACGGAGCAACGCCGCGUGAGUGAUGAAGGUCUUCGGAUCGUAAAACUCUGUUAUUAGGGAAGAACAAAUGUGUAAGUAACUAUGCACGUCUUGACGGUACCUAAUCAGAAAGCCACGGCUAACUACGUG
rnacentral:rRNA from 1 species